rnacentral:misc_RNA from 1 species
ACGACUCUUUUCUCUCUCCUCUUUUCAACACAACACAAUUCUGCUCCGCCGAGACUCUGUCCUUUUUUGAUUUGGGAUCGAUCUAUAGAUCAUUUUGUUCUUUAUCUUGCAAGGAAAACAAAUCUGCAAUGUCAUUGGCCGAUUCUGAAUCUUCUUCUCAUGGCGGAGAGCACAAAUUCUUUCGUCAAGCCAGCCGCGAAUGUUUAUUGAAUGAAAUGCUGGGAUCAAUAAGAACCGGGGAUUCGAGAUCGACCUGGAAGGUACUCAUCAUGGAUAAGGUUACAGUGAAAGUCAUGUCUCAUUCUUGUAAGAUGUCGGAUAUCACAGACCAAGGAAUUUCAUGUAAUUAAUUUACCAAGGAAUUUCAUGUAAGGAUCAAAGUCAAUUUACUUUGUUUUGUUGGCAUCUCAUAUUUGCUGGUGCCUGGUGCAAUACAAGCAAAGUUGGCUAAACAAAGGAAAUGUGUAUUGGUUCUGAUUCUUUUAGGAAAGAAGAUCUAUAGUAGUUCUCAAAUUGUUAUUUGACAUCUGUCUUCAUUCGACUAAUGGAGCAUGCCCUUUCUCUUUGUUACUGUGUCGGUAGAGCUACAAAUCACUGUUUUCAACACGUGCUGGUAAUUGCUAAUAGAAUCUGAUAGAGAUUCUGCUUUUAUUUCAGUGGUGGAAGAGCUUUUCAAGAGCAGGGAACCUUUACCUUCCAUGGAUGCUAUAUAUUUUAUCCAGCCAUCAAAAGAAAAGUAAUCUGUUUUAGUUUUAUUUGAUAAUGUUGUUUCUCCACUUACGUUUGAGUGAAAAUGCACAUGAAAUGAAAUAUAUUUUAUAUGCGUGAAAAUAAUGCUUCCUUAAUAUUUACUUCAUUAGUUUCCUAAUUUCUCAAAUCCCAGCCUUGACCAUUAGACAUGCCUACAUGGCAAUUCCCAGGUUUUAGCUUAUCCUGGUGGAAUAGUGUACUGAGAAAGUCAUAGUCUUGAAUGUUGGUAUGUUGUAUUUGGACCAAUUUGUGCUCCAACUAUAUUGUGCCUGGUUAACAAAACAGGCCUAUUAUUUUUUAUGAUUUUCUAUUUGGCCAGUUAAAUUUCUUGACAUAUGGUUCAGUGAAAUCAAGAAAAAGGACAGAAGAAGUAAAGCAAAAUUUGCAUUGGAAGUUUGCUGUAAAAUAAAGGGAAUUAAGUUUUUAUAUUUUAUAUAAUGAAAACAAGCCAGCCAAAACAUGGAUCAUUUGACUUACAAUUCAAGUAAUAUUCAAAUGAAUUUUGAUGGAAAUAAACUAAACUAAUUAGUUUUCCCCUUCUGUAAUUUUUUGGACUUAUUAAGGUGUCUGUUCCUUAGGUCUCUUAACCAUUUAGGAUGAUGUAUAACAGCUUUUGUGUUCAGAAAGAAUACACCUAAGAAAUUGCUUAAUUUCAAAUUGAUUGCACUAUAUUUGUUUGGAUUAGUUCUAGAUGCACUUAUAAGUGUUUGUUGGAAUUUUCCCCUAUUCAUUUCUCGCAUGCUCUCUCUCUGUUUUUGGCAUUUUUGCUUAAAUGCAUCCACAGUUUCUCCUUGUCUUACAUUUCCUGUGGAAUUUUCUCCUUCUUAACGUUAGCUUAUCUGAUGAGGAGGUUUGGACCCAUUUCAAUUCUAUCUUUUGCUAGCAUGCAGUGUUGUCAUGUUCUUGUCUGACAUGUCUGGAAGGGAGCCUUCAUACGAAACGUACGUGAAAGAUGAUAGAUUACCCAAAUUGUAGCUCUAUUUACUUGAAUAUAUUAUGUUUAUUUCAUUUUAAAAAAAUUCUGAUUAUGUUUUUGAACCUUUGCCUUGCUUUCCAGAGCAUUUGUUUUUUCAGUACACGGGUCCCAAAGGAAUUAGUUAAUCACAUAAAGUCUGAUACAAGUGUGUUACCUUGCAUAGGUGCUUUGAGAGACGUCAAAAUUUAAAAUUUUUUUUGCCUUAUUGAUAGUUGAGAAAUGAGAAUAGACCAUGGAAUUCAUUUUGUUUAUAAUUUUCUUCUUCCUUGCUACUGUGCAGAUGAAUCUAGAAUACUUUCCUUUAGACAGUCAGGUAUGUAACUAUAUCUGGCCUUUUCCAUCAUGCCAUUUUCAAGCGAGGGCUUUAUCCUCAUUUUGGAUCUCCAUGUCGAGUAAAUAUAUCUUAUAAAGCUUCUUUCUUGAAAAUGCAUGGAUGAAGCUCCUUUCUUUUAUUUUCUGCUCCAAGGCUAGCCUUUUCAUAAUGAAAAGUUACCUUUAAAGAUAAACAGAUAGUAUUUUUAUCUUCAUCUUAUCCAGGUUUAUUGAACUUGUUUGGUUUUAAGAAAUAUGUUAAGGAAAUAUUUGCUCCUUCAAUUAGACUUACCUAUAAAGCAUCUCCAACCAUUGUACUCCUAUCCAUUGCUCUAUCUGUUGAAGAAAUAUGCGUUAAAAAUAUAUUGUCCUCUGAGAUCCAUUAAUGCAGGCUUUUACAACUGACCAUGAAGGAGCACUGCAAGAACUAUAUGGUGAAAAUGCUGAGAACUCUCGCAAAUUUGAUGCUUGCUUGAAUGUGAUGGCUACUCGAAUUGCAACAGUUUUUGCUUCAUUGAAGGAAUUUCCCCACGUGCGGUACCGUGCUGCCAAGGCACCAGAUAUAUCUGCAGUAAUAUUUCAUGAUACAGUUCCUACAAAGCUUGUGGCUGCCGUGUGGAACAAUAUUUCAAAGUACAAGUCCAUUCCUAACUUUCCACAAACUGAGACUUGCGAAUUGCUCAUCCUGGAUAGAUCUGUUGAUCAGAUUUCUCCUGUCAUAAAUGAAUGGACUUAUGAUGCCAUGUGCCACGAUUUACUGGAUAUGGAUGGAAAUAAAUAUGUGGUUGAGGUUCCUAGCAAAAUGGGUGGUGAACCUGAGAAAAAGGAAGUGCUUCUAGAAGAUAAUGAUCCAGUCUGGCUUGAGCUUCGCCAUGCUCACAUAGCAGAUGCAUGGCAUGUUUUUAUAUUAUUCUGUUGAGAGCAUUGAGUACGAAUGCUCUCAUCCUCUAACUGGCAUAUCAGGCUAGUGAACGUCUGCAUGACAAGAUGACCAACUUUGCGUCAAAGAACAAAGCUGCACAAAUGCACACUACAAGAGAUGGUGGUGAAAUUUCGACAUGAGAUAUGCAGAAAAUUGUUCAAGCUUUACCAAAAUAUAAGGAACAAGUUGACAAGCUCUCUCUUCAUGUUGAGAUAGCUGGAAAAAUUUACAAAAUCAUCAGAGAAUUGGGGCUUUGAGAACUUGGGCAACUAGAGCAGGAUCUCGUUUUUGGAGAUGCAGGAGCUAAGGAAGUUAUCAACUUUAUUAGGAUGAAGCAGGACGCAUCUCCUGAAAAUAAGCUUCGUUUGUUGAUGAUCUAUGCUUGUGUCUAUCCUGAGAAAUUUGAGGGUGACAAAGCUACAAAGCUAAUGCAGUUGGCUAGAUUAUCAGAAAAAGAUAUGAAGGUUGUGAAUAAUAUGCAACUGCUUGUGGGAUCACCUGUCAACAAAAAGACAUCAAGCAGUUUCUCUCCCAAGUUUGAUAACCAGAAGACAAAGCACGCAGCCAGAAAGGAUAGAACUGGUGAGGAAGAAACAUGGCAACUAUUUCGAUUUUAUCCCAUGUUAGAGGAACUCAUUGAAAAUGUUAGCAAAGGUGAAUUAGCGAAGAAUAAGUAUUCAUGUAUGAAUGAACCAAGUUCAACUGUUCAGGAGACAACUACCAAAGCGUCAGCACGAUCAAGCAAUGCUCCAGUUGCUCCAGAAAAAAAAACUCCUCAUUCAAUGAGAUCAAGACGAACUGCAACUUGGGCAAGACCUCGUCUUUCUGAUGAUGGACCCAGUUAUUGUAUCUCAGAUAUCUCUACUAUGACUUGAACACUAGGCUGUACCAUCUUUCGAAUGUGAUUUUCUGUAAGAAAUUUCAAUCUGCUCUUCUUUCACCCUCAAUUCUUCCAUAACAUAUUUACUAGUAAACGGUUGUAACAGAUGGCUGCUAAAAGCAGCUUAGACGUUUUUGCCUAUGUAGAUGAACUUUUCUUAUUUGUCUUCCAAUGCCUUUGGUAGUGAAUCGGUCUUGAAGAAUGCCACACUAGAUUUGAAGAAAAUGGGACAGCGUAUUUUUGUAUUUAUUAUUGGUGGGGCAACUCGAUCUGAGGUAAGAUUUAUCAGGCACUUCUCAGUUUUGAAUUAAUAAUUGAAUAUCGCCAGCUAGUUUCAAGUUGCUGCGGUGAUGUUGUGGAUCUUUACUGGUGGCAUUAUGGGAUUUAAUUUUCAGCUACGAGUUUGCCACAAGCUCACAACCAAACUCAGAAGGGAAGUUGUUCUAGGUUGCACUAGUUUGGAUGAUCCUCCACAGUAUAUAUAACGUUUGCUAGAUAAAGAUUAGAAGCAGCUCAAUAAGAGAAUAAAGAUCAUAUCAUAAUUCAGCUCGGGUUGCUCAUUAAUUUUCCUCAUACAAACAGAAAUUGAAGAUGCUGUCCGAUACAGAAGUUCUACAGGAUCGCCCCAGAUUCUAAAUUUUGCAUCGUCAGAACAUGGACUACGUACUUUUACCCAGUUCCUCCAGGUUUUGUGUAAUUGUGAGCAUGCAGUUUCUCUUUUCUCGUGGUUCUCACCAAAAUGAUUAAACUUUCAUGCUCUAUAGAUAAGGAGGAACUUUGAAAAAGUCUGCUUUUGUUUCUCAAGAAUCACGACCUGGCAGCAAGUAUAGCCGGAGACCAGCCACAAUGUGCAUCCAGCAAUCAUUGGGUCGUCUUCAGCCUACCAGGAAUCUUUUCUUCGCAUGAGAAAGACAGAUGAAAAGAAAAAAAAAAAAAAGUUUGUAAUCCAAAAAUUUUUUUAGGGGGGGCUUUAGGAUGUCCCAUGGGAAUUGAAUCAGCCCAUUUUGUAAUACUGAUUGUACCUUAUUGUAGUAAUACGCCCCUUCCAUUUACUCCUGUAUAACCGAUCUUUCUGGUUUGGCCACGCUGGCUUCAAUUUUUAUUCAUUAGAGAAGAUGUUGGGAUAGAUAGGAGUGUGAAUAAGUUAGAAUUCUCGUAUCAGAAAAUUAGGUGAAGGACCUUAGUUAAUGGUAUUGUCUAACUAACUAGG